GGUUUCUACUCGGUGAGUGGCCAGUGGAGUGUACCCAGGUAAGUUAGAAAAGGUGGCGCCCUUCGCCGCUAUCAGUUCUUGUACCUGGGUGCGCUCUUGAGGACUUAGGCGCUCCCCCAGCUGAACCCCCUGGGAGGGCUCCUUCUGCUCCUACUGCUCUAACAGAUCUGGGAGAGGUAGGUUCUCCUGAUCUUCCGAGGCGGGCGUGCAAAUGGCUGCCACGUCCUCAGUUCUCUCGUGGUAGGGUUUGAGCAUGUUCACAUGGAGCAUGCGUCACUUCCCUACCCCGGAGCAUGGGCCGAUCAUGUAGGUGGUAUCGCAUCUCUGCUCUACCACCUGGUAUGGGCCCUGCCAGACGGCCUGUAGUUUGUCUGUGUGGACAGGUUUGAGGAUUAACACCUUCUGCCCUACUUGAAAACUACGGUCUCUGGCCCCCCUGUCAUACCAACGGCACUGACGUUGUUGGGUGGCCCGGAGGUUAGUGCGCACUGCCUGGGUCAAUUCCUCCAGGCGAUCCCGGAACGCCAGCACAUAUGGUACAAUAGGGGUCCCAUCUGCGCUACUCUCCCCCUCCCAAUGCUCUCUAAUGAGGUCCAACGGUCCCCGCACCCUUCUCCCAAACAACAGUUCGGACGGGGAGAAGCCGGUAGAUUCUUGGGGUACCUCCCUGUAUGCAAACAACAGAUGGGGAAGGAACCGCUCCCAGUCCUCAUGGGUCUCUCCGAAUGUACGGAGCAUAUGUUUUAGGGUACCGUUGAACCUCUCACAUAAUCCGUUGGAUUGGGGAUGGUAGGCAGAGUUAACGAUCGGCUUAAUGCCACAUAUUUUCCAUAGCUGCUGGGUGACCUCGGCUGUAAAUUGGGUCUCCAUAUCGGAAACAAUUUCCUGCGGGAACCCUACUCGGGAAAAGAUUUUCAUCAGGGCUUCUGCCACUAUCUCCGCAUGAAUAUUUGUUAGGGCAAUCGCCUCGGGGUACCGGGUGGCGUAGUCCACCACGGUCAGUAUAUACCGCUUCCCAGAUGGGCUGGGUUUUGGUAGCGGUCCCACUAUAUCCACGGCCACACGGCUAAACGGUUCCUCAAUUAUAGGUAGGGGACACAGUUUCGCUUUGUGGCGAUCCCCUCUCUUACCUACCCGCUGACACACAUCACAGGAGGUACAAUAGUGUCUUACAGCUUUAGAAAUCCCGGGCCAGAAGAAAGCGUGGGUUAAGCGAUACCGGGUACGGGUCAUCCCUAAAUGGCCAGACAGAGCGAUGUCAUGAGCUAUUCUCAGUAACUCGGGUAUAUAUUUCUGGGGUACUACCAGCUGUUUGGUUUGGACGGUCUCAGAGCUCCCUAUCGCCCUUUCGGCUACCCGGUACAACAAUCUGUUUUCCCAGAUGUACCGCUCCACCUCCCGCCCCACCUGGUCCGUGUCUACCCUAUCCCUGUACACCUGCAGUGUGGGGUCUGUCUGGACCUCUGCUUCAAAGGUGGUCGGGGUGUCCCAGGUCAUAUGAGUCGAGGGGGGGUCAUGGUUUCUUACCUGAGCCUCAGAGUGUGCUGGUGGAACCGUGGUGCGAGCCUGUUGCCGGGUAGUUACAGGAUGAGCUUCUUGCGAAGGGGCCUGAGGUACGAAGGCUGAAGUCAUCUGGCCCAAGUCAUUCCCCAAUAUGACAUCUGCCGGUAACUUUUUCAUCACAGCUACUUCCACAACCCCCUCCCCAGCACCCCAGUUCAAAUGCACCUUGGCAGUGGGUAGACGGUACAUGGCUCCCCCUGCCACCCUGACUGCCAUCGAUCCGCCAGUGUGGGCUGUAUCUGGAACCAAAUGUGGAGCAACCAGGGUUAAAGUGGCUCCCGAGUCCCUCAGCCCCUGUACUUCUUUCCCCCCCACAAACACAACUUGACGGUGAUGCUGCCUGUUGUCCGUGGCUUGCACAGACAUCACCUCAUACAAAACCCCCAGAGGUUCCUCGGUCUGCAGGCUCAUCAGCUCGGGGGUGUCCGGUUCUGCGUGGUGAUAAUGUGCUGCUGCCCUUGGGGUGGAAUGCUGCUGCACUUGGUUCCACGCCUGUCUACUCCGAUUCUGGGUGCACUCCCGGGACAUAUGCCCCCACUGACGGCAGGUAUGGCAUUGGAUGUUUGCUCUGCCAUUGUAGCGGGAUGGUGGUGGGGGGUUCCCUUGUGCUGGCCGGAAUGGAGCGGAGUUGGUUGGUGUGGAGAUGGUCGGGUGGUGCUGUACCGGUGGUCUCAGGGGACCCUUGUUGGUGAGCCCAUGAUGCCUCCUGGCAUCAAAGUGUUGAUCCGCCAACCGAGCAGCUUCCGUUAGGGUGAGGGGUUUUCUGUCCCUUACCCAUUCUUGUGCCUCUGGUAAAAGUCCG